rnacentral:rRNA from 1 species
AUACGUAGGGGGCGAGCGUUGUCCGGAAUGAUUGGGCGUAAAGGGCGCGUAGGCGGCCCGGUAAGUCUGGAGUGAAAGUCCUGCUUUUAAGGUGGGAAUUGCUUUGGAUACUGUCGGGCUUGAGUGCAGGAGAGGUAAGUGGAAUUCCCAGUGUAGCGGUGAAAUGCGUAGAGAUUGGGAGGAACACCAGUGGCGAAGGCGACUUACUGGACUGUAACUGACGCCGAGGCGCGAAAGUGUGGGGAGCAAACAGGAUUAGAUACCCUGGUAGUCCACACUGUAAACGAUGAAUGCUAGGUGUAGGGGGUAUCGACCCCUUCUGUGCCGCAGUUAACACAAUAAGCAUUCCGCCUGGGGAGUACGGCCGCAAGGUUGAAACUUAAAGGAAUUGACGGGG